UACAGAGGGGGCAAGCGUUGUUCGGAAUUACUGGGCGUAAAGGGCGCGUAGGCGGCCUUCUAAGUCAGACGUGAAAUCCCCGGGCUCAACCCGGGAACUGCGUCUGAGACUGGAAGGCUCGAAUCCGGGAGAGGGAUGCGGAAUUCCAGGUGUAGCGGUGAAAUGCGUAGAUAUCUGGAGGAACACCGGUGGCGAAGGCGGCAUCCUGGACCGGCAUUGACGCUGAGGCGCGAAAGCCAGGGAGCAACGGG
rnacentral:rRNA from 1 species